AGUGAACGCUGGCGGUAGGCCUAACACAUGCAAGUCGAACGGCAGCACAGUAAGAUCUUGCUCUUACGGGUGGCGAGUGGCGGACGGGUGAGGAAUACAUCCGAAUCUACUUUUUCGUGGGAGAUAACGUAGGGAAACUUACGCUAAGACCGCAUACGACCUACGGGUGAAAGCAUGGGAUCUUCGGGCCUUGCGCGCAUGAAUGAGCCGAUGUCGGAUUAGCUAGUUGGCGGGGUAACGGCCCACCAAGGCGACGAUCCGUAGCUGGUCUGAGAGGAUGAUCAGCCACACUGGAACUGAGACACGGUCCAGACUCCUACGGGAGGCAGCAGUGGGGAAUAUUGGACAAUGGGCGCAAGCCUGAUCCAGCCAUACCGCGUGGGUGAAGAAGGCCUUCGGGUUGUAAAGCCCUUUUGUUGGGAAAGAAAAGCAGCAGGUUAAUACCCCGCUGUUCUGACGGUACCCAAAGAAUAAGUACCGGCUAACUUCGUG
rnacentral:rRNA from 1 species